rnacentral:rRNA from 1 species
CAGCCGCCGCGGAAUACGUAGGUGGCAAGCGUUGUCCGGAAUUAUUGGGCGUAAAGGGCUCGCAGGCGGUUUCUUAAGUCUGAUGUGAAAGCCCCCGGCUCAACCGGGGAGGGUCAUUGGAAACUGGGAAACUUGAGUGCAGAAGAGGAGAGUGGAAUUCCACGUGUAGCGGUGAAAUGCGUAGAGAUGUGGAGGAACACCAGUGGCGAAGGCGACUCUCUGGUCUGUAACUGACGCUGAGGAGCGAAAGCGUGGGGAGCGAACAGGAUUAGAUACCCGCGUAGUCCCUGUCUCUUAUACA